AAUCUUGCGCAAUGGUCGAAAGCCUGACGCAGCAAUGCCGCGUGAAUGAUGAAGGNCUNNGGAUUNUNAAAUUCUUUCACCAGNNNNNAUAAUGACGGUCCCCGGAGAAGAAGCUCGGGCUAACUUCGUGCCAGCAGCCGCGGUAAUACGAAGGGUGCUAGCGUUGCUCGGAAUUACUGGGCGUAAAGGGCGCGUAGGCGGACAUUUAAGUCAUGAGUGACAUCCCAGAGCUCAACUCUGGAACUGCCUUUGAUACUGGGUGUCUUGAGUGUGAGAGAGGUAUGUGUAACUCCGAGUGUAGAGGUGAAAUUCGUAGAUAUUCGGAAGAACACCAGUGGCGAAGGCGACAUACUGGCUCAUUACUGACGCUGAGGCGCGAAAGCGUGGGGAGCAAACA
rnacentral:rRNA from 1 species